UACGAAGGGGGCUAGCGUUGUUCGGAAUUACUGGGCGUAAAGCGCACGUAGGCGGAUACUUAAGUCAGGGGUGAAAUCCCGGGGCUCAACCCCGGAACUGCCUUUGAUACUGGGUAUCUCGAGUCCGGAAGAGGUGAGUGGAAUUCCGAGUGUAGAGGUGAAAUUCGUAGAUAUUCGGAGGAACACCAGUGGCGAAGGCGGCUCACUGGCCCGAUACUGACGCUGAGGCGCGAAAGCGUGGGGAGCAAACAGGG
rnacentral:rRNA from 1 species